rnacentral:rRNA from 1 species
UACAGAGGUGGCAAGCGUUGUUCGGAAUUACUGGGCGUAAAGGGUGCGUAGGCGGUUCGUUAAGUCCUGUGUGAAAUCCCCCGGCUCAACUGGGGAACUGCACAGGAAACUAGCGGGCUUGAGUUCGGGAGAGGGAAGUGGAAUUCCGGGUGUAGCGGUGAAAUGCGUAGAUAUCCGGAGGAACACCGGUGGCGAAGGCGGCUUCCUGGACCGACACUGACGCUGAGGCGCGAAAGCUAGGGGAGCAAACAGG